GGGGGUGACCGGUCUCGACGGGAACACCGAGGCCAGGCGGCAGGCGGAGGUCCGUCUCCUCCUAAAUCCGACGGAACGGCAAACAAACGCCGACUAUGCAACUGUUCCUGCUUACGCCCUGAACUAGGCGUAGGCCGUCCGCGGCGCCCCCGCCCGUGGGGUGCCGUUAGGGCGUCGACAAGACGGGCUGGUCCAGGUGGCUGGCCUUGGGCGACCUGGAUGAAACCGAACGAGGCUGAGGGCCGAACGAUCCCGCCCGUGGGAGCGUGACGCCCGAGAUGAAAAACGCGGGCUAAGCUUGUAGAAGCCGAAGCCGAGGGGUUUUCGGACGGGGGUUCGACUCCCCCCACCUCCACC
rnacentral:tmRNA from 1 species